GUAUUCAGGAAGUAAAAGGGCCUUUAUUCACGUACCGAUCGGGUCUCAGAUGAACUCCUGUUCCAAAAAGAUCUGAGAGAAGAAAGCAUGGUGUAGAUUCCUUUUGUAAGCAGCAUAUGCCCUCCCAUACAGUAUAACCCCUCCUAUAUUCCUCAGACCAAUCAGCACAUAGGAUAUUCAGGAUCACCUUAUAUAGGCAGACCACAUGGCUUGUUGAAGACAAAGGAAUUUAUUACCCACUUCCACACAUGCUCAGUAUACUGAUGAC